rnacentral:rRNA from 1 species
GACGAACGCUGGCGGCGUGCUUAACACAUGCAAGUCGAACGCUGAAGCACCAGCUUGCUGGUGUGGAUGAGUGGCGAACGGGUGAGUAAUACGUGAGUAACCUGCCCUUGACUCUGGGAUAAGCCCGGGAAACUGGGUCUAAUACUGGAUGCUACAUGUCACCGCAUGGUGGUGGGUGGAAAGGGUUUACUGGUCUUGGAUGGGCUCACGGCCUAUCAGCUUGUUGGUGAGGUAAUGGCUCACCAAGGCGACGACGGGUAGCCGGCCUGAGAGGGUGACCGGCCACACUGGGCUGAGACACGGCCCAGACUCCUACGGGAGGCAGCAGUGGGGAAUAUUGCACAAUGGGCGAAAGCCUGAUGCAGCGGCGCCGCGUGAGGGAUGACGGCCUUCGGGUUGUAAACCCCUUUCAGCAGGGAAGAAGCCACAAGUGACGGUACCUGCAGAAGAAGCGCCGGCUAACUACGUG